rnacentral:snRNA from 1 species
GUGCUUGCUUCAGCAGCACGUACACUAAAAGUGGAACAAUAUAGAGAAGAUUAGCAUGGCCCCUGCGCAAAAUUCAUGAAGCAUUCCACAUUAAA